AUUGAACGCUGGCGGCAGGCCUAACACAUGCAAGUCGAGCGGAGCGGCGGACGGGGGAGUAAUGCCUAGGAAUCGGCCAGGGAGUGGGGGAUAACGUCCGGAAAAGGGCGCGAAUACCGCAUACUAUCAGAUGAGCCUAGGUCGGAUUAGGUAGUUGGUGGGGUAAAGGCCUACCAAGGCGACGAUCCGUAACUGGUCUGAGAGGAUGAUCAGUCACACUGGAACUGAGACACGGUCCAGACUCCUACGGGAGGCAGCAGUGGGGAAUAUUGGACAAUGGGCGAACGCCUCAUCCAGCCAUGCCGCGUGUGUGAAGAAGGUCUUCGGUUUUUAAAGCACUUUAAGUUGGGAGGCGUUCCCAACAGAAUAAGCACCGGCUAACUUCGUGCCAGCACCCGCGGUAAUA
rnacentral:rRNA from 1 species